rnacentral:tRNA from 1 species
GAUAGCUCAGUUGGUAGAGCGCACGGCUGUUAACCGUUAGGUCGUAGGUUCGAGUCCUACUC